UACGUAGGGUGCAAGCGUUGUCCGGAAUUAUUGGGCGUAAAGAGCUCGUAGGCGGUCUGUCGCGUCGAAUGUGAAAACCCGGGGCUCAACCCCGGGCCUGCAUUCGAUACGGGCAGACUAGAGUUCGGUAGGGGAGUCUGGAAUUCCUGGUGUAGCGGUGAAAUGACGCAGAUAUCAGGAGGAACACCGGUGGCGAAGGCGGGACUCUGGGCCGAUACUGACGCUGAGGAGCGAAAGCGUGGGGAGCAAACAGG
rnacentral:rRNA from 1 species